GCCUCCAGCUCGCCAAAGCCUUGCAGCCUGGGAAGAAGCCCCCAGGCCGGCCGGGGCGGCCUGAGUGGGGCAGAUCCAGCCGGCUCCCACCGCGCCGCCCGCCAGGCCAGCGCCUCCUCUCCGGCAGGGGCCCUCCCCACAUCCCGCCGGGGGCGCUGCGCUCAGCAAUGCCCUCCCGGCGGCUCGGCUCGCCCGCGGUCUCGGUGAUGCAAGGGCAAGCGGGCGUUGCGGCAGCCGCCGCCGGCUGCGAGUGCAGAGAGAAAAAAGGAGGAAGAAGGGGGAACAUGUUCUCCAAAGGACGGGAUCACCGUAUAUAAGGCACAUGGCAGUCUUUGAGAAAGGACAGAAGCUCGAGCCGACUUAAAUUAAUUGCUGUUUCCCUUGCCCAGUCCGCCAAACUGUACAUGGACACAAAUGUUGUGUGGUAGGUUUCGCUCUUCCCAGUGACUCCUCAGCCCGCCAGAACGAAGCGUCCCCGCCUGCUUCCCAGAAAGACCCUACACUGUGGCUAGUCCCGCUGUGAAAAGCCUCUAGUAAAAAAUACACUUGGAAUUAAACUAAGGACCGUUUCUUUUGUAAAGAAAUUGUCUGGAGAAAGAGUCAUCAGAAAAGAUUCGUCAGCGUCGUCUGUGAAGGACUCCGGGAUUCGUGGACCUCCAGGCCCCCCGGCACCGACGUCAAGACCGAAGUGACCGAUGGCAUACUGGGGUUGGUCAAGUCCGUGAGGGUCGUGGGGGUGCUGGACGGGCUCAUGGAGGCGUUGGAGAUCUCCGAAGCGGGGCCCGAGGGCGUGCCGGCUUGCAGCGUCGAGUCGGAGGCCUUGUCCACCCCCGUGUUCUCCUGCCGCAGAAGGUUCCGCCUGAAUUUGGCCCGGGCGUUUUGGAACCACACCUGGAGGCCAGGAGGAGAGAGAGAGAGAAUGUGUUAGUCUGGUCUGCCUGAAGCAUCCCUGGCCAAGAGGGACAUGGGUCCUCAGAGCCCCGCUGGGAAGCCAGAUGCUCAGCCAGAGCCAGGAGAAACCCCUGCUUGCCCCCCCCCCGCCCGCCACAAGGGAUCUUGGGGCCCACCUCACAGGGUCCUCAUUGCAUGGGACAUUCGCAGGAGGAGGGCUUGAGACCCCCAAGGCGCUUAUAAAUCCUCACCAAUCACAAACUGCUCAGCUGAACAAAGACCACUAGGCUCCCUGCCUGAGGCCUUCAGGCAGGUCUUUGUUCAGGGGGUUUGCAGGGCCAAGGCAACACCUCCAUUGGCCAGGAAGCUCAUGUGCAUGACAAAUGUCUCAUCAUGGCUGCAGUCACAUCACUAGUGGGGGGGGGAGGGUCCAAGGUGACUGAAGCCUCUUUUCCCCUCCCCAUUGAGUGCUUUAAGCACAGAACUGCUCUGUGUGUGUGUGAGAGAGAGAGAAAAUAAUGAUGGGGCACAAGUUGGAAGAAAGGUAAAUAAAACUCCCAAGAACGUAAGACGUAAGAACACCGGCGAGGACAGGGGAAAUGAAUCCAGAGAAGAGAGACAUUAGAAGUUUCCAGUGAGCCCCCCCACAGAGAGAGGCACACAAUUGUUCCCAAGAGCGAUGCCACCUUCUCUCCAAGAGGCAAGUGGGGGAACCGAGGCAGGCACAGCAAGGGAAUAUGGCUCCUUUCCUGGGAGGGAGGAACGGAAGGGGUCCAGAGGGGCAGACAGCCGGAGCCAGCAGAAGCAGAGAAGAGGGGCUGGUGAAGACGGACGUGCACUUGAGGGGAAACCCACAGCUUUGCAUCGGUGGCACCUUGGAAGUUCAGGGCUCUGGAAUCCAGGCCGAAGGCUGCUCUCUAAGUCAGGCACGUGCACGGGCUGCGUCCAGGACUAGCGGGCGAAGCCUUCAGGCGAAGCCAGCCCUGACCCCCCAGGCCAGCCCAUGAAAGUUGCCCCCCCUCUCCUCCCAGAGAACCCCGGAGUCCUGGCCCCAGAAGGCCCUCCCCCCUGCACCAGCUCAGAGCUGACCAACUUGUCUUCUCCUCUCAUGCCUGAGAAACACAGAAUGGCAAGAAGCCCCUUGUGGCCAGGGCUUCUGGGAGCUCUCUGCAGGUUGACUGGGAAAGAGGACCCUUGGCGGGCAGCCCAGGCCGGCCUCCCGCGCAGGGAGCUGCGUUUCUCAGGGGGAGGAGGAGCCUCUGGCUUGCUCCAGGCCGUGCUGUGGGGUGCCACCCAUGCAGAUGGCCGGAAGAUGGUAUGCACCAGUGAGCUGACAGGGGCCCCGUCGCCUUCCAGAGAGCCCUAGAAAUCUGCAAAGAAUCUGAUUCUGCCGGAUCAGAGCAGCAUUCAAGGGUGCUGUCUAUCUUCAUUCAAAGAGCAGCAGUUUCACCUCUGAGGCGCUCCCGAACUUGGGAGUAGUUGCUGUCUGGACCCACUGACUUGUAGGGAUGUAGGAGGAAGCUGCCGCCUAUUGAGGCAGGCCCUUGGUCCCUCUGGCUCAGUAUGGUCUACACUGACUGGCAGUGACUCCUCCAUGGAUUCAGGCUUAGGGUCUUUCCCAGCCCUACCCGGGAUUGAACCUGGGUCCUCCUGCAGGCAAAGCUGAUUCUCUGCCCCAUCAUCCCUUUGACUUUGCGAGUUAUCAAUCUCUGGUCUCCGCCCAAAGUGGCAAGUCCAUUACUGCUAAACGUAGCCAGAACCAACCCGCAAAGUGCAUUUCCCUCAUGGCUGCAUUUCCAAGGGUGAGCCGCCUGCAUAGUCUAACCACCCUUGAGUUGGGUGUGGGAAACGUGAGGUCAGAAGAAGCUCAGAGCAGCCCCGCCGGAUCAGGCCCAAGGAGGCCCGUCAAGUCCAGCCGCCUGCCCCACACAGUGGCCCACCAGAUUCCCCUGGGGGGCCCCCGCAGGCAAGAGGUCUGGGUAUGCCCUCUCUCCUGCGGUUACAGCCCUGCAGCUGGGAUUCAGAGGCCAAGAGGCAUCUCUCUGCCGUAGACCGAUUCGCUCUGGAUGUCACAGAGCAAAAAGGAAGCCCUGAAUGCUUGUUCCUGGGACUUCCCCUCCCCAGCCCAAAACAGAAUUCCAGAGGAGCUGAGCAGAAUUCGGAAGUGCUUGCAAAAGGAAAAGGAAAAAGAAUCAACCGGGAACCUUUUGUCACAUGUGGUGGACACGCACUAAAGCGCAGACAUUUUGGAAGUUAAUUCACCCUAAGAUGCAAGACGUGUCAAAAACAGAAUUUCAUUUUUUACCAGAGAUUUUUAUGUUAAAUGUUAACAAACCUCAUAUACCUGCAGAAUAUACGGAGCUGUCUUUAUCCAUGAUAACUGCUGCUAGAAUGCUUUAUGCUUCUUAGUGGAAAACGCACUCAUUACUGAUGCCAGUGGAGUGGCAUCUUAAACUUUGGGAAUACGCCUCAAUGGCUAGAAUUGCUUCCUAUAUUCAAAAUAAAUCAGAAGGUACAUUUAGCUUGACUUGGGAACCUUUUAUACAUUACAAUUUGUCACAGGGUCGGAUACCUCAUCCGAGAUUCGGAUUGUCUCUGCUAUUGAAUCCCUGAAUGACUCCUUUACAAUUUCAGCAUUGCUUAACUUUGAUACUUAAUUAUUCAGUUGGAUGUUUUGUUUGGACAUUUUUAAUUAGUGGGGGUUGAAAGUUCUAACUGGACUGUGAGUGGUUAGGAUAAGAUGUAGAUACGAUAGAGAGUUGACUCCUGGGUUGAUGUUUAAAACAUAUAUGAGAUAGGAACAGAGGAAGCUGCCAUAUGCUGAGUCAGACCAUUGGUCUAUCUAGCUCAGUAUUGUCUUCACAGACUGGCAGCGGCUUCUCCAAGGUUGCAGGCAGGAAUCUCUCUCAGCUCUAGCUUGGAGAUGCUGCCAGGGAGGGAACUUGGAACCUAGAUGCUCUUCCCAGAGCGACUCCAACCUCUUCCAGUGCUCACAUGUAGUCUCCCAUUCAAAUGCAAACAGGGUGGACCCUGCUUAGCUAAGGGGACAAUUCGUGCUUGCUACCACAAGACCAGCUCUCCUCUCCGAAGGAUUUGAAAGAUUUUAUGUACUACAUUUGUGUACUCUUCUUUUUUCUGCAUUCUUUUUUAUUGAUAUAUUAAUAAAAAUUAUUUAAAAUAAAAUAAAA